CUCGACCACUGCGAGAAAGUGGGCUCAAGCGCCAGAGCUGCUCUCGCCUACCUGGAGGAGAGGUUUGGCCAGCGCGAACCGAAGCUCAGGGCAAUCACCAUCAGGGGCUCCAUACUGGACACCAUCAGCUUCCGCAGCGAGGAUGUGGGUGACUACAAGGGGACCAAUGACGACCAAAUCCUGACCUGCUGCCGGCUGCUUUGCAAUGAUCGUACAGAGCAUGCACUUCCAAGGGAGCCUGAUAGACCAGUGAAGCUGUACCGAGAAACAGUCCUCAUCACCGAGGACCGGAACCUGUGCGUGAAAGCUCUGACACACAACGUGCCCGUCAGAGAUUUGCCAGCCUUCCUCCGUUGGGCCAACAUUUCGUGAGAGCAGGAUGCGAAAGAAAGAGAAAACUUCUCUCUGAAUCGAUGCAUAUGAGCACCGAGUGAAGACUGCGCAGGAACCACCUGAAGGAUACCGUUGCCACCGAAUCACUCUGGAUGACACAGCCUUUGCGCAGAACCAGCUCUACCAGCACAAGUCUGUCAGCCUGGCCAGCCGUACCGUAAGGCUCAACGUCACUGACUGAAAUCCAGGAAUACGACGGACGCACCCACUUUGGCCUCCACUAGGGUGCCCUUCACUUUGAGGAGAUGACGCAACAACUGUUACUACACUUUUAAAAAGGGGGGUGGGGAAGAGGGGGGAAGAGUUUCUUGGCUAUGUCACGAGGCACGGCAGGCAUAAGGUACAAGCUCGAAUAGCUGACGCAAAAUGGCCACUUUUUGUUACAUGCACUUCUAUACCUCUGAGGUUUGUUGGAAUGCAUCUUCUAAAUCAAUCAUUGCUAUCUCGGAAGAAUAGGAAAGGGGAUUGCGCAAAAAAAAAAAAAAGCCACAGAUUGCAUUCUUUUUCACCACUUUGACAAGCCCUGCAGAAGAGAGCUUUUGAUAGCUAAAGGACUAGCCUCGUUGAAUGAUAAAGAAUGCAUGGGAAUGGUUGUUUGCUACAUCACCUAGCUGUGCCUAGUUCUCGUGCUGCAGUUGAAGAACAGCUGCUGGAAAAGUCUUACAAGUACUGAGACGUCUCCUUACCACUUGGCAAAUACUAACACUCACAGCAGUGGCACAAUCAUGCGAAAAAUGAGCCUAUACAACAUGCAGAGAAAUGAAAGUUUGUGUGUGAAAGCAAA